AGUGAACGCUGGCGGUAGGCCUAACACAUGCAAGUCGAACGGCAGCACAGUAAGAGCUUGCUCUUACGGGUGGCGAGUGGCGGACGGGUGAGGAAUACAUCGGAAUCUACUUUUUCGUGGGGGAUAACGUAGGGAAACUUACUCUAAUACCGCAUACGACCUACGGGUGAAAGCAGGGGAUCUUCGGACCUUGCGCGAUUGAAUGAGCCGAUGUCGGAUUAACUAGUUGGCGGGGUAAAGGCCCACCAAGGCGACGAUCCGUAGCUGGUCUGAGAGGAUGAUCAGCCACACUGGAACUGAGACACGGUCCAGACUCCUACGGGAGGCAGCAGUGGGGAAUAUUGGACAAUGGGCGCAAGCCUGAUCCAGCCAUACCGCGUGGGUGAAGAAGGCCUUCGGGUUGUAAAGCCCUUUUGUUGGGAAAGAAAAGCAGCAGGUUAAUACCCCGCUGUUCUGACGGUACCCAAAGAAUAAGCACCGGCUAACUUCGUG
rnacentral:rRNA from 1 species